rnacentral:lncRNA from 1 species
AUAAACCAACCUCUUAUUCAUACAAGUCAAAAUCAUUUAUUCGAAUCACAUAUCUAACCACACAUAUCAUGCCUUAUCGAACAUUCUCUUAUAUGAACUAUAUUUCAAUAUCUAACCAUUUCAAUUACGUUUGCUAAUUCAAAACUUUCAAGCCAAGCCAUCAAAUAUCAAAACCAAACUAAAUAACAAACGUAAUAUUUAAUAAAAAUUAUACAUACACCUGUUAAACUAAUUUAGCCAUAUCUCACAGUUUAAUAACCAUUUGCACAUAAAACGUUAGGUAACUUUAUACAUGACCAACUAAGUUUUUUUUUACAUCAUCCAACCAUGUGCAUAACACCCUAAAACCAAAAGUCAUUUCUAAAUUCAAUUACCAAAUCAUAGCAUUUUAAACAUUAUAACCUUAUGUACAUUUUACUAAAUCAAAUUUAACCAUUUUCGAAUACAAAUGCCAAGUCAUAAAAUAUCUAAUUUGCAAGCUAAAUAGCAUAUCUAACAUGUUAUAUUCAACCACACACAUGAACCCCAUACCUAAUUCGCAUGCGAAUUAUCAUGCCUAUAAUUCAUAUACACAACCAAUUAAUAUUUUCAAUAAUCAAUCAUUCAAUUAACCUCCAUAUCAAUUAGAUCAUAUACAUUCUUUGUCAUUCAAAAAUCGAGCCUAAAUAGUCAAAUACCAUAGCCGAACAUAUAACUACCUAUAUAUAUAACACAUUUUAUAACCAUCAUUGAAUCAAUGAUUUGACCUUUUUAAAACGAAACUACAAGCAAACAUUAAAUAGGCAUAUGUAUUCAUAUCUCAAAUGUCCAACAAUUUAAAAAAAUAACCUUUCGGUUAUCAAAUUUAACUCAAUAAAUCAUAACAUCUCCAUCACCCAGUCUAUAAGAUAAACAUAGUAUCUCAUAUCUUAACAUCAAAACAAUAUGUCAUUUAUAGAUAUUCAAAUGACCCCUUUUACCAAACCAUAUUAUACCACUUUUCAUGCCACCAAAGUAAGUUAAUUAAUAAGCCGAAUAUAUACCCUACUUACCACUUCUCAUUGCCAAAUCAUAUAACCAACAUCACAACAUAUUUACCAUAAAUCAUACCUCUCAAUUAAGCUUAUAACAUGACCAAAAAUAAUUGCCAACAUUUGCAUCAUGAACAAGCCAUUUUCGCAUGGCUAUAUACAUAUACAAAUUUCAAAAAUCAAAUAUAUCAAAACUAGCCUAUACAUGCCACAUAACCAAAUCUCAAAGCGUUUAUUUACCGAAAUGAAUACGGGAUAGUGUGAUGAGAUCUCCCAAGACUUCCAACCAGAGCAAGUCUCCGAAACUCUAUAACAUAGGAAAAACACACAGAGUAAGCUUUGAAAGCUUAGUAAGCCAUAAGCAAAUAAAUCAUUCCAAUAAUGUUUAUAAUUCAAUUUAACUAAGCUGAAUUUAAAAAAAAAUCUCAACCACAUAUACAUUCAUCAUAAUCUCAAUUUCUUAAGACCACACUAGGUAACUUCACUAGAGUUAAUUAUGGAUGGACAUAUAAACCGUUUUUUUCAAAUUUAUAUAUCUACCAUUAGCUCAUUCGUAGGGUUAAGCUUCCACAAUUUCAUUACAUACCAACCGAAUCAUGAUCAUUUAUUACAAUUUAUUCGUAAAAAAUAUAUCAAUUUCUUUUUAUACACUUCCAAGCCCGAAUAAGCAUAACAAUUCACAUCUCAUUUUCACAUAAAUUAUAUAACGAAUAAUCAUAAUCAUACUUACUUUCAUUGCUCAAAUUCAUAUUCAUCACAAACAUACCUGAUUCGGCUGCACACUCAUAUACUCAUUUAUUUCUCGGAAUACCCCGUUGAACCGUUCAGAAUCAAAUAGGAUACUUGGAUAGCUCAAAAAAAAAAUCGUACAAUGCCAACGUCCCAGACGUGGUCUUACAUGUAAUCAAUAUCGAUGCCACUGUCCCAGACAGGGUCUUACACGAAAUCAAAUAUGAUGUCGAUGUCCCAGACAUGGUCUUAUACAUAAAUCUCAAAUCGAUGCCAACGUCCCAGACGUGGUCUUACACGAUAACAUAUAUCGGAAUCCUAUGUCAUGACAUAUGUAUCCUAACUAUUCCUAUGGUUCGUACGGGGCUUUUCAGACGUCGUAAUUCUAUUGAUUCAAGCUCGUAACUAGUUCUCCAACUCUAAAUUCAAUUCAGCAUAUGCACAUAUAUUUAUUAAAGAUAAAUUCAGCACAUAUAACAUAUAUACAUUCAAAUUUAACAGCAUUUAUUUACUUAUGAACUUACCUCGUACGAACGCGAACGGACCGGAACGACUAAUCGAUAACUUCCGAUUUUCCCGAUCCAAGUCCGAUUUCCACUUUUUCCAAUCUAAUUAAUAUCAAAUUUAACUUAAUUAUUCAACAUUUCAUUAAAUUUUCAUUCAAGAACAUAUAAAUGGAAAUUUGCAUUUUAGCCCCUAACAUUUUGCAUUUUUCUCAAUUUAGUCCUUAUUUCAAAAUAACAUAAAAUACACAAAAUUUCACUAAAUCCUUGUUAGGCCGAAUUCUACCCAUACUACUAGCAGCCCAUAUUUUUAGUUUAUUCACACAUUUAACCUUGAAUUUGUACACUUUUCUCAAUUUAAUCCUUAAUACACAUUUUUAUCAAAAAUCACUUAAUUAAACAUAAUAAUCUAUCAACAAAAGUUUAUAUUUCAUCAUCAAACCACAAAAACAUCAAGCUAACAUCAAUGGCAAAUUUCAAAAUCAUCACCAAUUCACAAAAUUGAAGCAUGGGCUUUAAAGAACACAAAGCAACGAUCUCAAAAACGUAAAAAUUAUCAAAAACCGAACAAAGAACUAACCUUAAUCAAAAUUCAAAAUGGCCGAACCCUUAGCUUGUUCUUUCCUUUUUCUUUUCUUUUACAUUCGGUUAGUAGAAACAAAAGAAAUGAUAAUGGCUUUUUAACUUAUGUUUGUUUUCUUAUUAUAAUAACUUUAUAAUAUAUUAUUUAUUAUUAUAACCUUUAUAAUUACUAUAAAAACUAUAUAAUAUAUACAUAGUGCCGUCCAUUCAUUAAUUCAAUGGCAAAAUUGCAACAUGAAACCUUCAUAUUAAAAGAACAACCACUAUUUGGCCUUUCUAAAAAUAACCACUAAAUUUUUAUUUUACUCGAUUAAGCCCUAUUCUCAAAUUAAGCACUUAAACAAUAAAAUUAAUUCACGAAACUUUCACAUAUAUAAAUUCACACAUAAUAAACACAGAAAAAAAAAUAUUAAAAUAUUUUUCAGACUCGGAUGUGUGGUCCCGAAACCACUGUUCCGAUUUGGGUCAAAAUCGGGCUAUUACAACUCUCCCCCACUUAGGGAUUUUCGUCCUCGAAAAUCUUACAGGUGAGUAGGUGUGGGCAACGUUCUUUCAUUGCAUCCUCUGGUUCUCAGGUUGCUUCCUCAACUCCGUGUUUAUGCCACAGUACUUUGGCUAACAAAAUUUUCUUAUUUCGUAAUUCUUUAACCUCACGAGCCAGAAUGCUAAUCGGUUCUUCUUCAUAUGACAUAUUAGACUUAAUUUCAAUCUCGGUCAAACUGGUCACAUGCGAAGGAUCGGAUCAGUAUCUAUGAAGCAUCGAAACAUGGAAUACAUUAUGAAUCUUUUCUAGUUCAGGUGGCAACAACAGUCUAUAAGCAACCGACCCGAUAUGCUCUAUAAUCUCAUAUGGUCCAAUGAAUCGCGGACUCAAUUUGCCUUUACGACCAAAUCUGAGUAUUUUCUUCCACAUUCAAAAAGACUUUAUCUUCGAUCUGAAAUUCUAUAUCCUUUCUUUUCAAGUCUGUAUAUGAUUUCUGACAAUCCGAUGCUAUUUUCAGACUAUCACGAAUCACUUUCACUUUCUGUUCAGUCUCUUUAAUCAAAUCGACCCCGUGUAUCUUAUUUUCUCUGAGCUCGGUCUAAUACAAUGGUGUACAACAUUUAAGACUGUAUAAAGCCUCGUAAAGUGCCAUUUUGAUACUAGAUUGAAAGCUAUUAUUAUAUGCAAAUUCAAUCAAAGGUAAGUAUUGAUCCUACGUACCUUCAAACUCGAGAACGCAACAUCUCAACAUAUCCUCAAGUAUCUGAAAGAUUCGUUCAGAUUGACCAUCUAUUUGCGGAUGGAAAGCUGUGCUAAAGUGUAGUUUCAUACCUAAAACAUCUUGCAGUUUCUUCCAAAAUCACGAUGUGAACCUCGGGUCUCUGUCUGAAACAAUAGAAAUAGGUACUCUAUGCAAUCUCACAAUCUGAGAAACAUAUAAUUCAGACAGCUUAUCAAGUGAAUAUUCUGUACAAACCGAAAUAAAGUGUGUUGAUUUAGUCAAUCUAUCCACAAUAACCCAGAUUGCAUCUUUCUUACUCCGUGUCAACAGUAAACUAGAUACAAAAUCCAUUGUAACUCUAUCCCACUUCCACUCGGGUAUCAUAAUCGGCUAAAGUAACCUAGAAGGUACUUGAUGCUCUACUUUCACUUGUUGACAAACUAAACAUUUCGAAAUAAAGUCAGAAAUAUCUCGUUUCAUACCAUGCCACCAAUAAAGCUAUUUCAGAUCAUUAUAUAUUUUUGUACUACCCGGGUGAACAGAUAAUCAACUAUUAUAAGCUUCGUUCAAAAUCAUAUGAAUCAACUUUGAAUUCUUCGGAACACAUAUUCAGUUUCUAAACCUCAAACAAUCAUUGGUAUCAACUCGAAACUCUGUUACACCACUCGAUUCACAUUGAGCUCGUUUUGCUAACAAAUCAUUAUCAACUUUCUGAGCAUCACAAAUUUGUUGAACAAAUAACGGUCUAGCUUUUAAUUCAGCUAUUAUCGAACCAUCAUUGGACAUAGUCAUAUGCGCAUUCAUUGCUCGCAAAGAAAACAACGAUUUUUUUUUUUACUUAAAGCAUCAGCAACAACAUUAGCCUUUCCCAGAUAAUAGUCAAGUACAAGCUCGUAGUCUUUUAACAACUCUAAGCAUCGACGUUGUCUUAAAUUCAGAUCUUUUUGAGUCAUCAAAUAUGACACAUAACUCUUUUCAUAUAGCUUUAACUAUAUGGAAUCAUAAGAUAUCUCUGUACACUCUUCUAUUAGAACACACUUCAAACCGUUCAUUGACACAUUACUGAGAAUCGUAAACUUUUUAUUCAAGUUAGGCUGAACGAGUACUGAUGUUUCGGUUGACAAUAUCUUCGUGCAAAAAGGAAAACUUCAACAAUCGAACUAACUUUAAUUUACUACAACAUUUCCCAGAUAGAAUCGUUUUGAUAGAUAUAAUUCUAUAUCAAAUCUUCAAUAAUACAAAUUCUUCUUCCAAACUAUCCCUCAAUUCACAUAUGUACGUUCAAAGUUUAUUUCCAGUCUAGUGGAUAGAUUCAAACACAUAUAACCCAAUUAUCUUUUCAAUCAAAUAAUUCAAAUCAGACUAAACCGCUGAAUCAGACUUUCGAAGAAAUCUUUUCUUCUCGUUAAAAGGAUAGCCCCAAAUAUAUCAUUUUCCAGAUUUGAUCUUGAUCUUCUAUCAUUUUCACUUUUGCCGAUGUCAAACCUUUUACGAGAACUAGAAAAGAGUUUAUGAUAAAGCUGUCUCACAUUUUAAUCAUCGAAGUUCUGAAUUAUACUGAAUUCACCUUUAUCAAAUAGAAAUCAUUGGGCCUUAAGGAGAACGAUGUCUCAACCCUAUAAAUAGAUAUUAUCCUGGCUGUUAAUAAAGCAUUUGAACACAGAAGAAAAUCAAAUAUGGUUUAAACAGCAACCAAUUCAAAAACACAACUUCUAUAACUCUGAUAACAGUACUGCAGUACUCCCAUAUUUCAAAACAAAAAUUAUAAUAGAUAUAACCAUUUCCGUCAAAUGGAUAUCUCUUAUAGAAAAUCACAUAGAAUCAUAAGAAAACCAGGAUAGCGGAAUUUCAACAUAUGAAGCUACACAUGAUAUCUGGAAAUUACAGCCCAUAUAAAAUGAUAACAAUUCCGAUGAUAUCCCAGAAAAUUUCUAAAAAGAACAAACUCAUUCAUAAAUACUGAGAUCCACAGUAACAGAAGUAAUAUAAUCUUCACGUAUAUUCAACAGAACAUUAACCAGUAGAAAUAGAAUAUUAGCCUCAUACAGAUUUUACCGUCGACUUUCAUAUCCACACAAUGGAAUAAAUACUAGAGAAAGACGGAGCAAUGUCAAACAUAACCCAAACAGACCUACGAUGCUUUUGUCUAUUAGUAUGUUUAACUAAUAUUCUUACACGAUAAGAAUUCCUUCUAAAAUUAAACAGUCACAUAUACUUCUGGGGAUAAAUGUACACAUAGAAUGCUCAGAAGAAAUCAUAGUAACUGUUCGAAUAUAACCACUGCACUCAGCCAUCAAUACCAUUCAAACAUUAUUCAACUGUCUAAUUCUGUCAUCAUUAAGUCCAUAUUAUCCCAUCAAUAACAAAAAUCAAUUUCAAAGAACUUUCAGUUAAUACCUUUCUAUAUAUAUAUCAAACCUGAAUAGUUUUAUUUCAUCAAAUUCCACUUCUUCGUUAAAAGCGACUUUGCAUAAUACGAAUGGCCAUUAAAACGAUUCAAUAUCUCUUAUAGCACUGUCUCAAUUUGCUGACCCAUUCUCUUAUCUGACCACAUUAGUAAUCUUUCAAACACAAACCUCUGUAACUCCACACUUGUGAGCUUAUUCGAUCCAAAUCUUACAGAUUUCAUUGUAAUAUUUUACUGAUAAGGGGUGAGGGUAGUAAAGCCUCAAAUUUAACUCGGACAUAAAUGCACAUAACACAUACUAUUACAAAUAGCCAAUUUAUUAACAAUUUCACAUUCUCCAAACAUUUACUAAACAUUUGCUUAUAUUCACUUUUGUUCUUAACACAUUAUUCAUAUACCAAUUCAAAUCACUAACUCACAAUCAAAGCAUUUCAGAUACCAAUCGUAACUCAAAUAUCAUAUCUCAUAUGCUCAUAUAAGUACAACAUUUAUCAAUAACAACAUGUCAUACAAUUUGGUCCUUACCUUUAUGAGUUUCUACUCAUAAUCAACACAUUUUCACUCAAACAUUUGAGUAUUUACUUUUGUACUAUCAGAAUUAGCUCGGUUGGAAAAACACAUCUGUCUCACCAAAACAAUUUUCGUCAGAGUCGGGAGAUAUCACACUAUCACAAGUUAUAUAUGGCAUGUAUAGCUAGACUUACAUUAGCUAUGUUAGUCCUAGAACCGACUAAACCAUAGCUCUGAUACCAAUAAAAUGUAACACCCCUAACCCGUGUCCGUCGCCGAACUAAGGUUACGAGGUAUUACCAAACAAAACACAGUUCAAAACAGACAUUCUUUACAAAUCAUAGGCCCAGUAAUGUAUUCUCCCUUAUAAAAUUUUUCGAAAUAAAUUGAUAAACCAACCUCUUAUUCAUACAAGUCAAAAUCAUUUAUUCGAAUCACAUAUCUAACCACACAUAUCAUGCCUUAUCGAACAUUCUCUUAUAUGAACUAUAUUUCAAUAUCUAACCAUUUCAAUUACGUUUGCUAAUUCAAAACUUUCAAGCCAAGCCAUCAAAUAUCAAAACCAAACUAAAUAACAAACGUAAUAUUUAAUAAAAAUUAUACAUACACCUGUUAAACUAAU